rnacentral:rRNA from 1 species
CACGGGGGGAGCAAGCGUUGUUCGGAAUCACUGGGCGUAAAGGGCGUGUAGGCGGUCAAGUAAGUGGAAUGUGAAAUCCCCCGGCUUACCCGGGGACCGGCAUCCCAUACUGCUUGGCUUGAGUACGGGAGAGGAUGUGGGAAUUCCUGGUGUAGCGGUGAAAUGCGUAGAUAUCAGGAGGAACACCAAUUGCGAAGGCAGCUCGCUGGGACGUUACUGACGCUGAGACGCGAAAGCGUGGGGAGCAAACAGG